rnacentral:rRNA from 1 species
UACAGAGGCUGCAAGCGUUAUUCGGAUUCACUGGGCGUAAAGGGUGCGCAGGCGGCCAAGUGUGUGAGGCGUGAAAGCCCGGGGCUUAACCCCGGAAUUGCACCUCAAACUACAUGGCUAGAGCAUUGGAGAGGGUAGCAGAAUUCAUGGUGUAGCAGUGAAAUGCGUAGAUAUCAUGAGGAAUACCAGAGGCGAAGGCGGCUACCUGGACAAUUGCUGACGCUCAGGCACGAAAGCGUGGGGAGCAAACGGG